AUUCCCCAAAAGCAUCUAUCCCCAUCGCCAUUGCUCAUCCCUCCAGUUUAUCAUAAUACCUGCACGGCCUCGGAUUCACUGUAGGUUUAUUCCCAAAAAGUAUCUGUCACCAUCCCCCCAGUUUAUCAGAAUACCUGUACGGCCUCAAAUUCACUGUAGGUUUAUUUCCCAAAAGCAUCUAUCACCGUCCCACAUCUCCCUCAGUACACUUAGGCCAGUUCCCCAACGCGUUGCCUUUAAAAGGUACUGCCUUUUAUGUUUUGAAUUGUUCUUUUGUACUGUACAUUGUAAAAUAUUGAAAUAUUGCACCAUCUUUUCCUGUGUUUUUUGGCCUGAUGGGGCAUUAUUAAGGAUAUUGAUGAUGAUUUGUGGCUCCACGUAUUUUACAAGGCAAUAAUUAAGUGGUUGUAUGUUUUUUAAAAACAUUUUUUUUAUAAAUGUCUUUUUUUUUUUUUUUUUUUUUACUGUAUUAGCUUUAAUGUUUUAAUUACCUUCUGAAAAAAACAUUCAUAUUUUACCACCACUUGUGUUGGUUCUAUUCAGAUGAGCAUUUUUUAAAAUCAUGUCUUUAUCAUGAGCCUUAAACUCUCAUUUUUUCAGCUGCAGGAUGGGAUAAAAUGCCUUCAGCUGAAGGGCAUUGUUGUGUCAGGAGUGCUAAUUCUGUAUGUUCAUGUUUCAGUGAGUUGGUAAAAGACUUUGAGCUCCGAGCAGCCAAUCGUGGUCCAUUCUUGAACACGACCAGAGUCGGUGCCGCCUGACCGUGGUGCUGGCAGCAUAUUUCCUGAAAGCUUAGCACAUGGGCAUU